GCGAAUGACGCUUACCUUCAGAUGGCCAUUGGCAAUGCUCCCUGGCCUAUUGGUGUCACUAUGGUCGGCAUCCACGCCAGAACUGGCAGGGAAAAGAUUUUUUCCAAGCAUGUUGCCCAUGUCUUAAAUGAUGAAACCCAACGAAAAUACAUUCAGGGACUGAAGAGGUUAAUGACAAUCUGCCAGAAGCACUUUCCUACAGACCCGUCCAAGUGUGUGGAGUACAAUGCACUGUAAGGUGCUGUAAAGUCUGAGCACGAGCACGUCUGUCACCUUGCUGGACAGACAGAAUUAAGGAGAUAGAAGGUUGAAAGUGUCCCAGCGUAAGUUCAGAACACCAGUGCAUCGAGGCCAGGGGGAAGAAGUGGGCCGUGGGCCAGCAAGAGCAGCAGCCUGGUGCCUGGAUCCGGAGAGUUUCUGGCUGCACUGUGCCUCACUCAGUCCUCACUUGCCUUACAAAAUGAGGACUUGCUCUGGGUCUUACAGAGUGGAGCUUUGAGCACCAUGACCACUCCGUCCCGCGGUGCUGAGAGAUCUGGACUAACACAGUGAUCUGUGCAGAUGGGCUGUUACCCCACCAGUUGGAUGCGUCAGAGAAGGAAGAGCGGGUGGGCCACAUCAGGACUGACGGCUCCCCAGCUCCGUGCUCUAACUCAGUCACCG
rnacentral:lncRNA from 1 species